rnacentral:rRNA from 1 species
CUCUGAACAGUGGAUCACUCGGCUCGUAGAUCGAUGAAGAACGCAGCCAACUGCGUGAAGCAUGGCGAAUUGCAGGGCUUCAUGAAACCGCUACUUGUUGAACACAUAUUGUGACUCUAGCUUACGGGCUAGGGUCUUGCCCAUCUGAGGGUCGU